rnacentral:rRNA from 1 species
AUUGAACGCUGGCGGCAUGCCUUACACAUGCAAGUCGAACGGCAGCACGGGUGCUUGCACCUGGUGGCGAGUGGCGAACGGGUGAGUAAUACAUCGGAACGUACCUUAUCGUGGGGGAUAACGCAGCGAAAGCUGUGCUAAUACCGCAUACGCCCUGAGGGGGAAAGCGGGGGAUCGCAAGACCUCGCGCGAUUAGAGCGGCCGAUGCCCGAUUAGCGUGUUGGUGGGGUAAAAGCCCACCAAGGCGACGAUCAGUAGCUGGUCUGGGAGGACGAUGAGCCAGACUGGGACUGAGACACGGCCCAGACUCCUACGGGAGGCAGCAGUGGGGAAUUUUGGACAAUGGGGGCUACCCUGAUCCAGCAAUGCCGCGUGAGUGAAGAAGGCCUUCGGGUUGUAAAGCUCUUUUGUCAGGGAAGAAACACCGGCUCUAACACAGUCCGGGAAUGACGGUACCUGAAGAAUAAGCACCGGCUAACUACGUGCCAGCAGCCGCCGUAA